rnacentral:misc_RNA from 1 species
AUAUGAAAUAACAAAUACCAAUCGAUGCUUUAUUAUGAGGUAACACAAGCUCCUCGAGUUUUUUCAUCACAUGAACAAUUCGUAAUCAAUCGAUGGAAGUUAUCAUUUAUAUUUCUAGAUCUCCGAUGCAGAAGUCAUCAAUCAUCUCAAAUACUCGCGUAGCAUGUUGUGGCCCGUAGAAACCUUCAGUUGAAUCAUCACCAGCAUGAUCUAGGAUGGCAUCACCCCCUGGGUGUUCUUCGACAUACGAGGUAACAUCAAACACCUUAUCUUUGAUAAUAAUCCAGCAAUCAGUUCUCUUGUUAUGCCGUGCAACUUCAGCUUUGCUAUACGAUUUGACUGCCUUGUUCUGAGCAUUUGAGGAAACCUUUCUUUUCUGCGGAACAGAUUUACUCCGCAGUCGAGGUAACACAAUGAACACAGCUAGCAAGAUACCCAACACUACUGUCGCCAAAAUAAUCUCCAUAUCUCAAAUUUUAGCUCA